UCCCUGGUAGCUCAGUCAGUAAAGAAUCUGCCUGCAGUGCAGAAGAUCCCAGUUCAGUCUCUGGCUAGGGGA
rnacentral:tRNA from 1 species